rnacentral:rRNA from 1 species
UACGUAGGGAGCAAGCGUUGUCCGGAAUCAUUGGGCGUAAAGCGCGCGUAGGUGGCCUCAUAAGUCCGCUGUGAAAGUCAAAGGCUCAACCUUUGAAAGCCGGUGGAUACUGUGGGGCUAGAGUACGGAAGAGGCGAGUGGAAUUCCUGGUGCAGCGGUGGAAUGCGCAGAUAUCAGGAGGAACACCAAUAGCGAAGGCAGCUCGCUGGGACGUUACUGACACUGAGGCGCGAAAGCGUGGGGAGCGAACAGG